rnacentral:rRNA from 1 species
UUAAAUCAGUUAUCGUUUAUUUGAUAGUACCUUACUACAUGGAUAACCGUGGUAAUUCUAGAGCUAAUACAUGCUAAAAAGCCCGACUUCGGAAGGGUUGUAUUUAUUAGAUUAAAAACCAAUGCCCUUCGGGGCUCCCUGGUGAUUCAUAAUAACUUCUCGAAUCGCACGGCCUUGCGCCGGCGAUGGUUCAUUCAAAUUUCUGCCCUAUCAACUUUCGAUGGCUGGGUCUUGGCCAGCCAUGGUAGCAACGGGUAACGGAGGGUUAGGGCUCGACCCCGGAGAAGGAGCCUGAGAAACGGCUACUACAUCCAAGGAAGGCAGCAGGCGCGCAAAUUACCCAAUCCCGAUACGGGGAGGUAGUGACAAUAAAUACUGAUACAGGGCUCUUUUGGGUCUUGUAAUUGGAAUGAGUACAAUUUAAAUCCCUUAACGAGGAACAAUUGGAGGGCAAGUCUGGUGCCAGCAGCCGCGGUAAUUCCAGCUCCAAUAGCGUAUAUUAAAGUUGUUGAGGUUAAAAAGCUCGUAGUUGAACCUUGGGCCCAGCCGGCCGGUCCGCCUCACCGCGUGCACUGGCUCGGCCGGGCCUUUCCUUCUGGAGAACCGCAUGCCCUUCACUGGGCGUGCUGGGGAACCAGGACUUUUACUCUGAACAAAUUAGAUCGCUUAAAGAAGGCCUAUGCUCGAAUACAUUAGCAUGGAAUAAUAGAAUAGGACGUGUGGUUCUAUUUUGUUGGUUUCUAGGACCGCCGUAAUGAUUAAUAGGGACAGUCGGGGGCAUCAGUAUUCAAUUGUCAGAGGUGAAAUUCUUGGAUUUAUUGAAGACUAACUACUGCGAAAGCAUUUGCCAAGGAUGUUUU